CAAGUAGAAUAAAUGAUCGCGGCUGUACAGACGCAAGGGUACAGGUGAGGAAAGUCCGGGCUUCGCAGGGCAGGAUGCCGGAUAACGUCCGGUGGAGGUGACUCCAAGGCUAGUGCAACAGAAAAUAAACAGCUAUGUUGAACCUUUCAGUUCAGUGGAAGCCGCUUGCGGGUUCCGCAGUUUCGCGAAGCGAUACUGCAUAGUGAUGGUGGAAUGGCAGUGUAAGAGACUACCGCUGCAACGGUAACGGUGCAGGCUGUGUAAACCCCAUCCGAAGCAAGACCGAAACGAAAGCGACAGAUUGGCCCGAUCUGCUUUCAGGUGGGUCGCUCGAGAUAUCCGGUAACGGAUAUCCUAGAUAGAUGAUCAUUCAUGACAUAACCCGGCUUAUCGUUCUGCUUGGUUU
rnacentral:RNase_P_RNA from 1 species